rnacentral:rRNA from 1 species
UACGGGGGGGGCAAGCGUUGUUCGGAAUUACUGGGCGUAAAGGGCUCGUAGGCGGCCAACUAAGUCAGACGUGAAAUCCCUCGGCUUAACCGGGGAACUGCGUCUGAUACUGGAUGGCUUGAGUUUGGGAGAGGGAUGCGGAAUUCCAGGUGUAGCGGUGAAAUGCGUAGAGAUUGGGAAGAACAUCCGUGGCGAAAGCGCUCUGCUGGACUGCAACUGACAUUGAGGGACGAAAGCUAGGGGAGCGAAUGGG